rnacentral:misc_RNA from 1 species
AUGCCCGCAGCCCUGGGAA